GAUGAAGAACGUAGCGAAAUGCGAUACGUAAUGUGAAUUGCAGAAUUCCGUGAAUCAUCGAAUCUUUGAACGCAUAUUGCGGUCGAGGCUUCGGCCAAGACCAUGUCUGCCUCAGCGUCGGUGUGAACCCUCAUUCUCCCCCCCGGGGGUUGAAUGGAUCUGGCCUCCCCACCUUGGUGGGUUGGCUGAAAUUCGGAGAUUCUAGCUUGGACCUGUAUGGCAACAGCAAGGUAGGUAGCUCGACUACUCCAGCUGAUGCUUUGGGUACUUGCACGAGUCCGCAGGAAAUUCUCAUCUUUUCGACCUGAGAUCAGGCAAGGCUACCCGCUGAACUUAAGCAUAUCAAUAAGCGGAGGA
rnacentral:misc_RNA from 1 species